AUUAGAGCGAGGAACACGUUCUCCCCCUCUCUCUCUCUCUCUCUCUCUCCGUUCAUCUGUUUCUUGACCCGAAAUACUGGUUUUAUCAUGGAUGAGAUUACCAUUUCAGAUUAUCCACAAAGUGCAUAUAUUGCAAAUACAGGGAGACAUAAAUGCAGUAUCUGAGAUCCAGCACUGUCUGGUGAGUGCCGGAGACGUGGGCUGUGGUGUGUUUGAGUGUUUUGAGAACAACUCCUGUGAGAUCAGAGGCCUGCAGGAGAUCUGUCUAACCUUCCUACACAACGCCGGAAAGUUUGAUUCCCAGGGUAAAUCGUUCAUCAAGGAUGCUCUGAGGUGCAUGGCCCACGGCCUGAGACACAAGUUCAGCUGCAUCAGCAGGAAGUGCUUGGCCAUUAAAGAGAUGGUGUUCCAGCUGCAGAGAGAGUGCUACCUCGGACACAACCUGUGUUCUGCAGCCAAGGAGAACGUUGCUGUCAUGGUGGAGAUGAUCCACUUCCAGGACCUCUUCCCUAAAGGGCCGUAUGUGGAGCUGGUCAACAUCCUACUGAGCUGUGGGGAGGAGGUGAAGGAGGCCUUAACCAGGAGCGUCCGGCUGCAGUGUGAGCAGAACUGGGGGGCUCUAUGUGACAGCCUGAGUGUCUGCUCUUCCCUCACCCCCCCUCCCGGCCAGGCCCCCUCCUCCCCCGACCACCGCCGCCACGGGUCUCCCCACUCUGAACCAGACCAACCACGACCCCCCCGACAGGGGGACAAGGACAAGUCCAGUAAAGGAGGCUUCAAUGUCCACCCCCGCAGCCGCAGCCAGGGUCCCCGCCGACAGAGCCCCGAGGCUGGGGUGGUGGCGGAGCAGGAAGACCCUGAGGCCACAGACAUCCGGAGGUGAAAGAGACAUUGGACCCUAACUAUCCUGAUUCUCCCCCCGACCGUGUCACCAUCGCAGCCCCCCCCACAUACACACGUACUAAGACACACAGACAGAUACUGUACAUGCAAAAACACACAUACACGCACAUCUACACACAGACUCUCUCUCCAGUCAUUCCAGCAGUCCCAAAUGGUAAAUCUGCAGGUAACAUGGUGUAGCUCGUUCAGUUACUCCAGAUUGUAGUCCACCGACGUUGUUUCUGUUUAUUAUUGAAAUAUAAUAAGUAUUAUUAUCCUGAUUUAGGACAUUUUUGGCCUCUAAUAUAGCGUUUCUCAAAUCGUACUCACUGUAACAUUUCAUUAUAUUUGUAUUAUUUAUUUUAUUCUUUAUGCAAUGUUUAAAUAUCCAAAUGUACAUAGAAAUAUACUUAUCUAUAUUUAUACAGUACGAACAUGUAUAAAUAUAGUCACCAUAUGCAGUACUGAUGUACUAUACGAUUAUAGUACAUGGUGUGUUCUGUCAUAUACCUCACGAUCCAUCACCACCCAUAACCACCCAUAGAUAUGUGACAUUCAGCUUUGUUGUUUCAAAGUGGGAAUGUGUUGUUAGUAUUAUAAUUCUAGAUACUUGAUUAAACACAAACUUUACUGGUUUUGAAGUCCAGUUCUGGCACAUAUGACUUGUAGUGCAGGAGGGUGGGUUACCAUGGCAAAGUAAACAAACUGGUACAUUCUCUGAUGGCCAGCUUCCAUCGUUAGGAUUCCUACUAUUAGGGAGGGCACAGCGUCUGUCUGUAGCAGCACAUUCAGUGUGUCUCAAAUAGCACCCUAUUCCCUCAACAUGCUGGUCCCUUCUGUAGUGACUACUCUCUGUGAUGCUUACUAGAGUUCACUCGACUGGGGUGACAAUGUUGUACAUACAGUAAGUAGCACUAGGAAGAUUCAAAGGAGAUUUUCAAUUGAUUUGGUUUAAAGAUGAAUUAUUGGACUCAAAAGGUACAAAUGUUACUGUUGUGGUAUCGGACACGCUACAGACAGUCCGAAAGACACGCUACAGACAGUCCGAAGGACACGCUACAGACAGUCCUACGGACACGCUACAGACAGUCCUACGGACACGCUACAGACAGUCCUACGGACACGCUACAGACAGUCCUACAGACAGUCCUACGGACACGCUACAGACAGUCCUACGGACACGCUACAGACAGUCCUACGGACACGCUACAGACAGUCCUACGGACACGCUACAGACAGUCCGAAAGACACGCUACAGACAGUCCGAAAGACGCUACAGACAGUCCUACAGACAGUCCUACAGACACGCUACAGACAGUCCGAAAGACGCUACAGACAGUCCUACAGACACGCUACAGACAGUCCUACGGACACGCUACAGACAGUCCUACGGACACGCUACAGACAGUCCGAAAGACGCUACAGACACGCUACAGACAGUCCUACAGACACGCUACAGACAGUCCUACAGACACGCUACAGACAGUCCUACGGACACGCUACAGACAGUCCUACAGACACGCUACAGACAGUCCUACGGACACGCUACAGACAGUCCUACGGACACGCUACAGACAGUCCGAAAGACACGCUACAGACAGUCCGAAAGACACGCUACAGACAGUCCGACAGACGCUACAGACAGUCCGAAAGACACGCUACAGACAGUCCGAAAGACGCUACAGACACGCUACAGACAAUCCUACAGACAGUCCUACGGACACACUACAGACAGUCCUACGGACACGCUACAGACAGUCCUACGGACACGCUACAGACAGUCCUACGGACACGCUACAGACAGUCCUACGGACAAGCUACAGACAGUCCUACGGACACGCUACAGACAGUUCUACGGACACGCUACAGACAGUCCGAAAGACACGCUACAGACAGUCCGAAAGACGCUACAGACAGUCCUACGGACACGCUACAGACAGUCCUACGGACACGCUACAGACAGUCCUACAGACACGCUACAGACAGUCCUACAGACACGCUACAGACAGUCCUACAGACACGCUACAGACAGUCCUACAGGCAGUCCUACGGACACGCUACAGACAGUCCUACGGACACGCUACAGACAGUCCUACGGACACGCUACAGACAGUCCUACAGACACGCUACAGACAGUCCUACAGACACGCUACAGACAGUCCUACAGGCAGUCCUACGGACACGCUACAGACAGUCCUACAGACACGCUACAGACAGUCCUACAGACACGCUACAGACAGUCCUACAGACAGUCCUACGGACAAGCUACAGACAGUCAUACAGACACGCUACAGACAGUCCGACAGACAGUCCGAAAGACACGCUACAGACAGUCCGAAAGACACGCUACAGACAGUCCUACGGACACGCUACAGACAGUCCUACGGACACGCUACAGACAGUCCAAAAGACACGCUACAGACAGUUCUACAGACGUCCUACAGACAGUCCUACAGACACGCUACAGACAGUCCUACAGACAGUCCUACGGACACGCUACAUACAGUCCUACAGACACGCUACAAACAGUGCUACAGACAGUCCUACGGACAAGCUACAGACAGUCCUACAGACAGUCCUACGGACAAGCUACAGACAGUCCUACAGACACGCUACAGACAGUCUGACAGACAGUCCGAAAGACACGCUACAGACAGUCCGAAAGACACGCUACAGACAGUCCGACAGACACGCUACAGACAGUCCUACAGACACGCUACAGACAGUCCUACAGACACGCUACAGACAGUCCGACAGACAUGCUACCGUCCGACAGACAGACACACUACAGACAGUCUGAAAGACACGCUACAGACGGUCCCACAGACGUGCUACAGACAGUCCUGCAGACACACGCUACAGACAGUCCUAGCUACAGACAGUCCUACAGACACACGCUGCAGACAGUCCGAAAGACAGACACGCUACAGACGGUCCUACAGACACGCUGCAGACAGACACACGCUACAGAUGGUCCGAAAGACAGACACACGCUACAGACAGUCCGAAAGACAGACACACGCUACAGACGGUCCGAAAGACAGACACACGCUACAGACGGUCCGAAAGACAGACACACGCUACAGACGGUCCGAAAGACAGACACACGCUACAGACGGUCCGAAAGACAGACACACGCUACAGACACGCUACAGACAUACAGUAGCACCCCAGUAACUGCAUCUCAGUAAGCAUCAGUAGUAUGAUUGACUGGUAUGAUUGACUAGUAUGAUUCGCUACAGACAGUCCUUCAGACAUUCAUACAGACACGCUACAGACAGUCCUUCAGACACGCUACAGACAGUCCUACAGACAUUCAUACAGACAGUCCUUCAGACACGCUACAGACAGUCCUUCAGACACGCUACAGACAGUCCUACAGACAGUCCUACAGACAUUCAUACAGACACGCUACAGAUAUGCAUACAGACACACUACAGACAUUCAUACAGACACGCUACAGAUAUGCAUACAGACACGCUACAGAUAUGCAUACAGAAACACUACAGACAUUCAUACAGACACACUACAGACAUUCAUACAGACAUGCAUACAGACACGCUACAGACAUUCAUACAGACACGUUACAGACAUACAGUAGCACCCCAGAAACUGCAUCUCAGUAAGCAUCAGUAGUAUGAUUGACUAGUAUGAUUGAUUGACUAGUAUGAUUGAUGAGUUGAUUGAUUGACAGGUGUGUUUCUGAUGAUACCACUGAGUGCUGUACAGCUGAAGCCUGUCUGUACACUAACGUGACACCACAAGACUAUGAAAGCCCACUGAGCUAAUCUCCUAGGCAUUAGCCCAGGGAGCUAACACAAAUAUUGAGCUUAAUGCAGUCAAAACGUUGCAUGCAAUCAAGUAACCAGGAGCAGUCAUUUAACAGUGUAUUCCUGUUUAACCUCCAGGUCAGACCCCGCUCUCUCUUCCUGGCCACAGUCAUAUGCUACAAUGGCACCCUAUUCCCUACAUUGUGCACUAUAUAGGGAAUAGGGUGCCAUUGGGACGCAGCCCAGUGAGGACCCCCACACUGGCUCUGGCUGCAGUCCGCUGUUAUUCUAAAUGGUAGAUUUACCAAGGCCACUAGAGAAUUCCUCUGGGCUACAGCCAAGAGCUGGCCGGCCGCACGGGGAGAGAGAGGAAAGGAGGACGAGAACUCCACUCAACGGUUCCUGAGGAGCGACUCUUUCCCUCUCCUCCUCCCACCUCUUCUUACAGUUCAGAGGUGUAUGUUGGCCAGUCAUGGAGGCUCUCCUGCCCCUCUAAGCUUCGACAUGUCUAUUCAGAUGAUGUGACAUCCUAUUGCAGUUCAUUGUCUUCUCAUUGGGCACCAGGUGUGUCACUCCAUUAAUAAUGUAACUGACAAUCUGUUCCAUACUCUGUCACUAUCUUCUGCAUUUUGUGUUCUGGGAGAAAUAGUCUGAAGUGCUUCCUGUUUCUCAGUGUUCCAUACAGCAUGUCACUUCCUCUACACCCCCAGUUGUGCUCAUGGAUUAGCUGCCCUGCCAGAAUGACCAUACAGAAUGUGGUCUGGUAUGGUUUUAAUUCACCUGUCUGAUCAUGUGUAUACAAACAGUACUAUGAACUAAGGACUCAUGAAAUCAAAAUCAACAGAAAUGUAUCUUGAUAUCAUUAAAGUGUAUUUUUGUGUGGAUAUUUUGUACACUGAGUUCAGUCAUGAAGGUGUUGUGUGUUCAGUAGGUAGCUCUGAUCAUGAACUGCAUGACAACUCAGAGGAAUUAUAACCACUAUAUAAUACUGACACAUUGAAAAAC
rnacentral:lncRNA from 1 species